rnacentral:rRNA from 1 species
UUAUUCUAUAGGUAUUAGAAGUGACGGGCGGUUUGUACACUUUUAUUUACACAUUUCAGACUUUUAUAAUAAAAAAAUUUUACUUUUAAAUUCUAUUUCAGUUUAUCAAUAAUAUUCAUUUAAUUUAAUGGCUUACAAAAUUGCUUUAAUAUAAUUUUCAUCUUUACCUGUUUUAAAAAUUUAAGUUUAUAUAAAGAAAAUUAUUAAAAAAAUUUUCUUCAAACGGCGAUAUAAAAAAUGCCUAUGCUAAUUAAAGAAAGAUUUUAGGGUAAUGUCUUUUAGCUCCAUAAGCCUCUAAUGUGAAUAAAAGCCGCCAUAAAUUUUUGUUUGAUUGUCAAAGGCAUUAAAAUUUCGAUUCAUAAUGGGGUA